UUGAAAUAUACGGUUCUGGUUUUUACACACGGUCAAGCAGUGGGAGUUUGGAGGACUAUCAACUUCUCAAUUAAUAUGUUGCAAUGCCAGCAAUGAUGCACGCUCGAAGCUGGAAGCAGGUAUAAACAAUGUGCAAGGGGUAGAACCGGAUGAAGCGAAAUGCAACCUCAAUUGCGCGAAGAUAGAUGACACGGCAUCCUUUUAUUGUUGUCAUGAAUUGGUACCUAAGUAUAAAUAUUUCCCUGGCUUCAUAUCCUACCUGGUCUCCAAAAGAAUGCACUUUGAAGUAACCUAGGACAGCUAACAAGUUCAGAGUCAAUGGUGUGGUGCAACUGAUCCCCACCAA